rnacentral:misc_RNA from 1 species
GAAUUAUCAUUUUCUAGUCCACGUGAUGAAGACAUUACCCCUUUGUCAAUAUGACAUUCUUCACAACACCAAUCCAGUGGUGCUUCUUCACUAUAGCCCACCAAGCAAUAUUGAUGCACGUCAGCACUCCUACACUGAUAGCAGGUAAUAAUUGCUUCUUGAAAACCUAUAUCACCACAGAUUACACAAAUAUUUUUCUGAUUGUAUCUUCUGUAGGCAGGUCUUGGAA